GGUUGCGAUCAUACCAGCACUAAUUCCCCAGAUCCCAUCAGGACUCCGUAGUUAAGCGUGCUUGGGUGAGAGUAGUACUAGGAUGGGUGACCCCCUGGGAAGUCCUCGUGUUGCAACUCC
rnacentral:rRNA from 1 species